UACACUUCUUCAAAAAUGCAGUAAAACAAAUUAAGUUAGCAUUUCUAUUAUUUGCUUCUCAGGCUGAGCACAUAAUUUAUUUCAAUAAAUCCUUUCAUAAUUUCACAUUAACAAUUAGGCAGAAAGAACAUGUUUUGUUGAAGGAAUACUUAGUUCAAAGUGAAAUGUUUCAUUGCUAAUACACCUCAUGUUCUGAAUCUACACUACUCUACAUAACUUGUAUGCCUUAAAAACUCUAGUUAUCUUAAAAUUCUACUUUCUUCCUUCAUUCCCCGCACAAAGUGAUGGCAUUCAAUAUUGUUAAAGAGAAAUUUUUGGUUUACUAGAUGAAAAGGCAUUUGUAUUUAAGAGAGAUACUCCUCAGAGUCAAUCUAACAUCUCCAUGGAAGGCCCUCAAAUUCCAGUUUAAGAAACACUAAUCCAUAGUAUGUCAGAGUAAAACCCAAAUCCACAAAACCUACAGAUUAUACAUAAAAAUACUCUUACUCUUCAAAAAUGUAUUAUGUCAAGAAUUUUAACAGCAGCAUUUAAAAACAGGAAAUCAUUAGACAAUAAAAGACAACCAUGCUAGUGCAGAGUCAGAUCAGUACAUGACAAGACACCAUUUUUUUAUUUCCCAUUCAUGUAAGACUAUGUUACCUGAAUUCCUGGCAAUUUCCUAAAGAUACCACGCUUGUUAAAAAUUAUUGGCUCCAAGGAGUAGGAGGACAGUCUGUCCACCCUCUAACAGUUGAGAAUCAACACCUGGCUCUACUUUCUUACAGUGGUAUUACAUUUGUAUGCUAUUCUAUAAGAAGCAAACCAUUUCCAAUUAUAAAGCACCAUUGAGUAUUCCAUCCCAUACAAAGGAAAUAAUUCUAAAAAUUUUACAACAGGAUUCCUGGGAAGGCACUUAAAGCUAACUAGUCAAAAGAGGAGCCACAACAGUUAGGGGACUUCUUUUUUACACUGCAGGCUCCACAACACUCUCCUCCUUGCUUAUACCAUUUAACCUCUUGAUCUUAAGUUUCUCAAUAAAUUAAAUGCUCUUCAAAUAUAAAUCAAGAAAGGAACGACAAGAAGGGAGAAGUCCACAUCCUGACUGAUGAAUGAGGCAGAGUAAGUUUGCUUCCAAAGUAAGUGAAUGUUAUGACUCUAAGGAGGUAAGAAAACUAAAAGGAGUAAGAGAGUAAAGUGAGCAUGGCUUGGGUAGGAUUGGGCUGUUGACUUUAAGAAAAAAAGUAAGUUUCAUUUUAAUUUUCAGAUUCAAAGUCAUAAAAGUAUCUUUGGAUAAAUAUGCAAAGUAAAUAGUUUCGUCUAUUUUAUCUUUCUAAAGGUCAUCUAUAAGUUUCAAAUGUUCCUUAUUUUAUUCAAAUAGUGGACAUGACAAAGAUAUUACCAUUAGGUCAGGCUAUAAACUGACAACCUAUUAGAUUUCACUUGAAUUGUAUGUUAUGGAAAUAAACAAAAAAAUGGCAAUACUCCUCAAGUUCAGAAGCUGUGCCUUGGAAAGAAGAGUCAAUUAAAGAUUCAAUAUCUAAAAUCGAAAUGCUUUACUUAUAAUAAAUUUGAUAUUAAAACAUCACUCAUGAUGUUAAGUCAUAAUUGUUGGUAUGAUUAGUUCUAUUAAUUCAGUAAUUCUAAUACUUAAGAGAAGCAUUCCAGGAAAAUUAUCCUCAUCGAUAAGAUAUUUAGAAAAAAAAUUUUUUCCACUAUUAUAUCAGUGUUUUAUAAAGUUGUACAAAGUGAUUUCAUCAAGAAGGCAAGUAAAACAGCACUCUUCUACCAGCUCAUUAACCAAAAAGCAAACAAACCAUAAAUCUUCAAAAUGCUAUUCUCCCUUAAGUAAUCAGUACCGAAAAU
rnacentral:lncRNA from 1 species